rnacentral:rRNA from 1 species
UCGCUAAAACCCCAUAUGCCCCUGGGUGAAACAGAGGAGAUAAGUAAUACUGACUCACCUCUGCCUGAAGAGAAGCUCGCGGCUGAUUAGCUAGUUGGUAGGGUAAAGGCCUACCAAGGCGACGAUCAGUAGCUGGUCUGAGAGGACGAUCAGCCACACUGGAACUGAGACACGGUCCAGACUCCUACGGGAGGCAGCAGUGAGGAAUUUUCUGCAAUGGGCGAAAGCCUGACAGAGCAAUACCGCGUGAGGGAUGAAGACUUACUGAGUUGUAAACCUCGGUACCUUAAGGAAGAAGAUCUGACGGUACUUAAGGUGGAAAGCAUCGGCUAACUCCGUGCCAGCAGCCGCGGUAAGACGGGGGAUGCAAGUGUUAUCCGGAUUUACUGGGCGUAAAGCGUCUGCAGGUGGUUUCUUAAGUCUACUGUUAAAUCUUGAGGCUCAACCUCAAAUCUGCAGUAGAAACUAGGAGACUUGAGUAUAGUAAGGGGUAGAGGGAAUUCCAGUGGAGCGGUGAAUGCGUAGAUAUGGAAAGACACCGAUGGCGAAGGCACUCUACUGGGCUAUUACUGACACUCAGAGACGAAAGCUAGGGGAGC